ACAGAAGCCGCUGAAUUAGAGUUUGACAGCGUAAGACUUCCGCCGGACAUAGGACAAAGAGG
rnacentral:sRNA from 12 species